rnacentral:rRNA from 1 species
GAGUUUAAUCGUGGCUCAGAUUGAACGCUGGCGGCAUGCCUUACACAUGCAAGUCGAACGGUAACAGGUCUUCGGACGCUGACGAGUGGCGAACGGGUGAGUAAUACAUCGGAACGUGCCCAGUCGUGGGGAUAACUACUCGAAAGAGUAGCUAAUACCGCAUACGAUCUGAGGAUGAAAGCGGGGGACCUUCGGGCCUCGCGCGAUUGGAGCGGCCGAUGGCAGAUUAGGUAGUUGGUGGGAUAAAAGCUUACCAAGCCGACGAUCUGUAGCUGGUCUGAGAGGACGACCAGCCACACUGGGACUGAGACACGGCCCAGACUCCUACGGGAGGCAGCAGUGGGGAAUUUUGGACAAUGGGCGAAAGCCUGAUCCAGCAAUGCCGCGUGCAGGAUGAAGGCCUUCGGUUGU